rnacentral:rRNA from 1 species
UGGUAGUCCACGCUGUAAACGAUGUCGAUUUGGAAGUUGUUCCCCUGAGGAGUGGCUUCCGGAGCUAACGCGUUAAAUCGACCGCCUGGGGAGUACGGCCGCAAGGUUAAAACUCAAAUGAAUUGACGGGGGCCCGCACAAGCGGUGGAGCAUGUGGUUUAAUUCGAUGCAACGCGAAGAACCUUACCUGGUCUUGACAUCCACAGAACAAGGCAGAGAUGCUUUGGUGCCUUCGGGAGCUGUGAGACAGGUGCUGCAUGGCUGUCGUCAGCUCGUGUUGUGAAAUGUUGGGUUAAGUCCCGCAACGAGCGCAACCCUUAUCCUUUGUUGCCAUCGGUUCGGCCGGGAACUCAAAGGAGACUGCCAGUGAUAAACUGGAGGAAGGUGGGGAUGACGUCAAGUCAUCAUGGCCCUUACGACCAGGGCUACACACGUGCUACAAUGGCGCAUACAAAGAGAAGCGACCUCGCGAGAGCAAGCGGACCUCAUAAAGUGCGUCGUAGUCCGGAUCGGAGUCUGCAACUCGACUCCGUGAAGUCGGAAUCGCUAGUAAUCGUGGAUCAGAAUGCCACGGUGAAUACGUUCCCGGGCCUUGUACACACCGCCCGUCACACCAUGGGAGUGGGUUGCAAAAGAAGCAGGUAGCUUAACCUUCGGGAGGGCGCUACC